GAUGAACGCUGGCGGCGUGCCUAAUACAUGCAAGUCGAACGCACAGCGAAAGGUGCUUGCACCUUUCAAGUGAGUGGCGAACGGGUGAGUAACACGUGGAUAACCUACCUCAAGGUUGGGGAUAACAUUUGGAAACAGAUGCUAAUACCGAAUAAAACUUCGUAUCGCAUGAUACAAGGUUAAAAGGCGCUACGGCGUCACCUAGAGAUGGAUCCGCGGUGCAUUAGUUAGUUGGUGGGUAAAGGCCUACCAAGACAAUGAUGCAUAGCCGAGUUGAGAGACUGAUCGGCCACAUUGGGACUGAGACACGGCCAAACUCCUACGGGAGGCUGCAGUAGGGAAUCUUCCACAAUGGGCGAAAGCCUGAUGGAGCAACGCGCGU
rnacentral:rRNA from 1 species